UAUUACACAACUUAAUAUAGCGCCUAUGAAUACUCAUCACUAAAAACAUUCCAAGUGAUCAACAACAUGACGGUAAAUCGCAGUCAUUAUUGCAGCUACAUUCAUUUUUUGUUAUUGAGCCUAGUUCAAAUAUUCCAUAGCCUAUCGAAAGACCGAUAAUAACGGAAAAGAAUAAUCCCCAAUUAAAUGUCAUAGCAAUUAGCAUUAAUAGAUAAUGCAUAAAGUAGUACAAAAUAGUUAAUAAUACAUUCGUACAUAUAACUUUUA
rnacentral:antisense_RNA from 1 species